GCUAUGGGAUCAUAGCCCUAAAUCAUGCAAGCCAAUUCUACUCAGGCUUUGACAGGUAAAAUCUGCCUGCUUACAGUUUGUGAUGAGCUGUGGUCCUCCAUGGUCCUUCAGAGCACUCUCUCACUUGCUCUUCUGGAAAAAAAAAGUUGAUUAUGAUCUAGGAGCCUUGCAGGGGCCAUCACUCACAGAUCCACUGUGGCAAUCUCAUAACCAGCCUGAAGGGGAUCAAACAAAGGUAUCAGGUUUCCUCUGAAGGCUGUGGGAAUGUUUACGGUAAAGCUGGACUAUGUAACUACAG